GGCCUUGUACACACCGCGGCCUUGUACACACCGCCCGUCACACCAUGGGAGUGGGUUGCAAAAGAAGUAGGUAGCUUAACCUUCGGGAGGGCGCUUACCACUUUGUGAUUCAUGACUGGGGUGAAGUCGUAACAAGGUAACCGUAGGGGAACCUGCGGUUGGAUCACCUCCUUA
rnacentral:rRNA from 1 species